rnacentral:rRNA from 1 species
AUUGAACGCUGGCGGCAUGCCUUACACAUGCAAGUCGAACGGUAACAGGUUAAGCUGACGAGCGGCGAACGGGUGAGUAAUGUAUCGGAACGUGCCCCGUCGUGGGGGAUAACUGCUCGAAAGAGCAGCUAAUACCGCAUACGACCUGAGGGUGAAAGCGGGGGAUCGCAAGACCUCGCGCGAUUGGAGCGGCCGAUAUCAGAUUAGGUAGUUGGUGAGGUAAAGGCUCACCAAGCCGACGAUCUGUAGCUGGUCUGAGAGGACGACCAGCCACACUGGGACUGAGACACGGCCCAGACUCCUACGGGAGGCAGCAGUGGGGAAUUUUGGACAAUGGGCGCAAGCCUGAUCCAGCCAUGCCGCGUGCGGGAAGAAGGCCUUCGGGUUGUAAACCGCUUUUGUCAGGGAAGAAAAGGUUCUGGCUAAUACCUGGGACUCAUGACGGUACCUGAAGAAUAAGCACCGGCUAACUACGUG